GACGAACGCUGGCGGCGUGCUUAACACAUGCAAGUCGAACGGAAAGGCCCUGCUUUUGUGGGGUGCUCGAGUGGCGAACGGGUGAGUAACACGUGAGUAACCUGCCCUUGACUUUGGGAUAACUUCAGGAAACUGGGGCUAAUACCGGAUAGGAGCUCCUGCUGCAUGGUGGGGGUUGGAAAGUUUCGGCGGUUGGGGAUGGACUCGCGGCUUAUCAGCUUGUUGGUGGGGUAGUGGCUUACCAAGGCUUUGACGGGUAGCCGGCCUGAGAGGGUGACCGGCCACAUUGGGACUGAGAUACGGCCCAGACGCCUACGGGAGGCAUCAGUGGGGAAUAUUGCACAAUGGGCGGAAGCCUGAUGCAGCAACGCCGCGUGCGGGAUGACGGCCUUCGGGUUGUAAACCGCUUUCGCCUGUGACGAAGCGUGAGUGACGGUAAUGGGUAAAGAAGCACCGGCUAACUACGUG
rnacentral:rRNA from 1 species